rnacentral:snoRNA from 1 species
UGCAGCCCUGUCAAAUUCAGUCCCUGCCUGCUCUGUGGUGGGGAUUGGCCAAACGGCUGCCACAGCAACCCCUGGGGGUAGCGAGCUCCCUGUCCCCUGCCCAUGGGACAUCAGGGAUGACAUGACACCACCAACAUUG